rnacentral:rRNA from 1 species
CAGCAGCCGCGGUAAUACAGAGGAUGCAAGCGUUAUCCGGAAUGAUUGGGCGUAAAGCGUCUGUAGGUGGCUUUUCAAGUCCGCCGUCAAAUCCCAGGGCUCAACCCUGGACAGGCGGUGGAAACUACCAAGCUGGAGUACGGUAGGGGCAGAGGGAAUUUCCCGUGUAGCGGUGAAAUGCGUAGAGAUGUGGAGGAACACCAGUGGCGAAGGCGACUCUCUGGUCUGUAACUGACGCUGAGGAGCGAAAGCGUGGGGGGCGAACAGGAUUAGAUACCCGCGUAGUCCCUGUCUCUUAUAA